rnacentral:pre_miRNA from 1 species
GUAGUAUUCCCUCCGUCCAAAAAUUCUUGUCUUACAUUUGUUUAGAUACGGAUGUAUCUAACACUAAAAUGUAACUAGAUACAUCCAUAUUUAGACAAAUUUAAGACAAGAACUUUGGGACGGAGGGAGUACAAA